CAAAGACAUAUCUCUGCAGCUCUUUCAAGCUUUCCAAUUAUUCCGUUUACACCAUUUCCGUGAUCAUGUGACCCUUUGUCCAUAUAUAUUGACACAACAAGUUUGUCUUCAACCAUUAGUGCACAUCACAUAAUUACAACAAGACGCCCUACAACUCGCAACCUAAGCAAACAGCAAUCUGUUGACUGAAUUUCUGAAGUAUUUACAGACUCACAGACCAAGUGACAAUGUGACAUUUCAACUCUGAGAGUACCUGCAGCACUGCCAGUUUUUUGACAAAACGUAAAGAAUUCUGUCUUUUUAUGUAGCAAAAGAUCUCAAUCAGCAAGUUAGGGCGAUGUUUGAAGAUCCCAAAUGGAUGCCCUGAGUCUGGUCCAACUCGUGUGGAAGAUAAAGAUUCUGAAAGGACUGCUUGUUUGAAUAGUAUUAAUUAUGCAUUGACAAAUCCUAUACAUUUUGAGCCCACUCAGCUACCACGCUUCUAUCGUAACCCUGUGAGCGCCGGGAUCAGCUCGGGACGGGUGAGUCGGUGCUUGGCGCGUGGCGUUUAUGUGUUUUUAUCUCCAUCAUGCUUCUCGGAAAGGUCACACCCAUCUGUACGCUUCACAGCUCCCGGAUUCUUUCAAAAGACAUACACGAGACAUAACACGCAAAGAUGAGGUCAAGGGAGACUUGCUCGCAUAUCUUAAAUAUAUUUCUGAUGAUGUAAAGGUCCGGCUUCUACUUUAUACUGAGGGACUCCAUGUCGUUCAAUGUGGAGGCAAAGUUGUCAGACUCACUCUAAAUUAGUUACGGUAUUACAUUUUUGAGUUGUAAGUUCAACAAGCCCACCAUGACUCUCCAUGACAGAGGACGACCACACUUUGAGACCAUUCAGACCCACCGUCUUCAACAACUUGCUGUCACGCUAUGCAAACAAGCAUAUAUUCUGUGGAAAAUCUUGGCGUAACUUGAGAAUCAUGGUCAUAUUUUUAUGAAAAGAUUUACUUUGGUGAUCCCAGGAAAUCUGGAAGAAUGGCUCUUUGAAGCCGGGAUUAUGCACAUCUCCCUCUGAGCAGUAUCCUCGUGUGUGUAAGCAACAUGGUGCAAGGGGGGUGCUUCCAUACAGGGAUGCUUCUAUGCAGGGAUCCUGGACGCUGGACAACCAUCAUUAUCAUAACAAUAAACAUUUACCUUGCCAUGUUUAUUUUGCCAAAUAUUGCAACAGACCAUCAAAUCCAAAGCUUUACCGGAAAUUGGUUUAGAAAAGUAGGGAUUUCCUCAAUUCAGGCUGAGGAAUAUCAAAUCAACAGAAAUGCAAAUUUUCUCACGGCAUGUCCAGGUUUAAACCUGA